rnacentral:rRNA from 1 species
AGAGCGAACGCUGGCGGCAGGCCUAACACAUGCAAGUCGAACGGACUCUUCGGAGUUAGUGGCGGACGGGUGAGUAACACGUGGGAACGUGCCUUUAGGUUCGGAAUAGCUCCUGGAAACGGGUGGUAAUGCCGAAUGUGCCCUUCGGGGGAAAGAUUUAUCGCCUUUAGAGCGGCCCGCGUCUGAUUAGCUAGUUGGUGAGGUAAAGGCUCACCAAGGCUACGAUCAGUAGCUGGUCUGAGAGGAUGACCAGCCACAUUGGGACUGAGACACGGCCCAAACUCCUACGGGAGGCAGCAGUGGGGAAUCUUGCGCAAUGGGCGAAAGCCUGACGCAGCCAUGCCGCGUGAAUGAUGAAGGUCUUAGGAUUGUAAAAUUCUUUCAGUAGGACGAUAAUGACGGUACCUACAGAAGAAGCCCGGCUAACUUCGUGCCAGCAGCCGC